CCUACGGGAGGCAGCAGUGGGGAAUAUUGGACAAUAGGGGGAACCCUGAUCCAGCCAUGCCGCGUGUGUGAAGAAGGCCCUCGGGUUGUAAAGCACUUUCAGUGAGGAAGAACGCCUGGUGGUUAAUACCCAUCAGGAAAGACAUCACUCACAGAAGAAGCACCGGCUAACUCCGUGCCAACAGCCGCGGUAAUACGGAGGGUGCGAGCGUUAAUCGGAAUUACUGGGCGUAAAGCGCGCGUAGGUGGCUUGAUAAGCCGGUUGUGAAAGCCCCGGGCUCAACCUGGGAACGGCAUCCGGAACUGUCAAGCUAGAGUGCAGGAGAGGAAGGUAGAAUUCCCGGUGUAGCGGUGAAAUGCGUAGAGAUCGGGAGGAAUACCAGUGGCGAAGGCGGCCUUCUGGACUGACACUGACACUGAGGUGCGAAAGCGUGGGUAGCAAACAGGAUUAGAUACCCUGGUAGUC
rnacentral:rRNA from 1 species